UCCGAAUUGACGGGGGCCCGCACAAGCGGUGGAGCAUGUGGUUUAAUUCGAUGCAACGCGAAGAACCUUACCUGGUCUUGACAUCUACGGAACUUUCCAGAAAUGGAUUGGUGCCUUCGGGAACCGUAAGACAGGUGCUGCAUGGCUGUCGUCAGCUCGUGUCGUGAGAUGUUGGGUUAAGUCCCGUAACGAGCGCAACCCUUGUCCUUAGUUGCCAGCGCGUAAUGGUGGGAACUCUAGGGAGACUGCCGGUGACAAACCGGAGGAAGGUGGGGAUGACGUCCCCUUCCAUCACA
rnacentral:misc_RNA from 1 species